rnacentral:rRNA from 1 species
UGGGGAAUCUUGCGCAAUGCGCGAAAGCGUGACGCAGCAACGCCGCGUGCGGGAAGACGGCCUUCGGGUUGUAAACCGCUUUCAGUUGGGACGAAGCUUCGCCGGUGAACAGCCGGCCGGAGUGACGGUACCUUCAGAAGAAGCCCCGGCUAACUACGUGCCAGCAGCCGCGGUAAUACGUAGGGGGCAAGCGUUGUCCGGAAUCAUUGGGCGUAAAGCGCGUGUAGGCGGCUCGGUAAGUCUGCUGUGAAAGCCCAGGGCUCAACCCUGGGAUGCCGGUGGAUACUGUCGAGCUCGAGUCCGGAAGAGGCGAGUGGAAUUCCUGGUGUAGCGGUGAAAUGCGCAGAUAUCAGGAGGAACACCAAUGGCGAAGGCAGCUCGCUGGGACGUGGCUGACGCUGAGACGCGAAAGCGUGGGGAGCAAACAGGAUUAGAUACCCUGGUAGUCCACGCUGUAAACGAUGGGCACUAGGUGUGGGGGGUGUCGACUCCCUCCGUGCCGAAGCUAACGCAUUAAGUGCCCCGCCUGGGGAGUACGGCCGCAAGGCUAA